UACGAAGGGGGCUAGCGUUGCUCGGAAUCACUGGGCGUAAAGCGCACGUAGGCGGAUUGCUAAGUCAGGGGUGAAAUCCUGGAGCUCAACUCCAGAACUGCCUUUGAUACUGGCGAUCUCGAGUCCGGGAGAGGUGAGUGGAACUGCGAGUGUAGAGGUGAAAUUCGUAGAUAUUCGCAAGAACACCAGUGGCGAAGGCGGCUCACUGGCCCGGUACUGACGCUGAGUGCGAAAGCGUGGGAGCAACA
rnacentral:rRNA from 1 species